UACGAGCGAUUCAAGCGUUAUCCGGAAUUAUUGGGCGUAAAGCGUUUGUAGGCGGGCGAGUGUGUUUAAUGUUAAAUCUUAAAGCUCAACUUUGAAAUUGCGUUAAAAACUGCUUGUCUUGAGUAUGGUAGGGGUAAAGGGAAUUCCCAGUGUAGCGGUGAAAUGCGUAGAUACUGGGAAGAACACUAAACAGCGAAGGCACUUUACUAGGCUAAUACUGACGCUGAGAAACGAAAGGUAAGGUAGCGAAACGGAUUAGAUACCCGUGUAGUCUUACCCGUAAACUAUGGACACUAAACGGUAAAUUUUUAAUUUACUGUUAAAGCUAACGCGUUAAGUGUCCCGCCUGGGGAGUAUGCUUGCAAAAGUGAAACUCAAAGGAAUUGACGGGGGCCCGCACAAGCGGUGGAGCAUGUGGUUUAAUUCGACGGUACACGAAGAACCUUACCAGGAUUUGACAUGCUAGAUAGUUGCUUGAAAGAGUAACGUGCCGUAAGGAAUCUAGACACAGGUGGUGCAUGGCUGUCGUCAGUUCGUGUUGUGAAAUGUUGGGUUAAGUCCCGCAACGAACGCAACCCUUGUCUUUAGUUAUUUUCUAAAGAGACUGCCUGUAAUAAACAGGAGGAAGGUAAGGAUGAGGUCAAGUCAUCAUGCCCCUUAUGUCCUGGGCUACACACGUGCUACAAUGGGAAAGACAAUGAGCUGCAAAUCUGUAAAUUUAAGCAAAUCUCUUAAACUUUCUCGUAGUUCGGAUUGUGGGCUGCAACUCGCCCACAUGAAGUUGGAAUCGCUAGUAAUCGCCAGUCAGCUAUAUGGCGGUGAAUCCGUUCCCGGGCCU
rnacentral:rRNA from 1 species